rnacentral:rRNA from 1 species
UGUACAACUUUGGUGCAAUCACUUGCAUCUUGAACACAGCAGUAGUUACAUAGGCUUCUCUAAGGAGUCUAUUGUAUCAGUGUCUAGUACUCUACUGCCUAUUAAUAUACCUAUACUAACACAAAUAUGCCAUGACUACAACAACAAGCUUAACUCCGUUUACAAUGACGAAGGGCUUCAUUCUAGGUUUAUUCGAAGGAGAUGGGUCACUAUUCAUCUCUAUCAGUCGUAAGACCUCGAAUGUCACGGGUUACCAGGUACGACUAUCGUUCAAAAUUACCUUGCAUGAGAAGGACGUAGCAGUGUUACACGCUGUUCGAGACUUCUUAGGUGUAGGUACAGUUGAAGUAGAUCACUACUCUACAACAGGUACAGUAUACCGAUAUGUAGUUUGGAAUGGUAAGGAUAUCUUCCGUGUAAUUGGUCCAUUACUACAAUCACAGCCUAUGGUAUUAGCCAAACGGCAGAAUGACGUAGUAUUGUAUCUAAAGGCUCUAGACAUCAUGAGUCAGGGUUUACAUACAACUCCUGACGGCUUAGAAGAAAUGCGUCGACUUAACGCAGGCUUGAGUGGUAAGAUGAACAAGGAUGACAAGAUGCUUCUUGAACCUACGAACACUCCAAUCACUAAUGAGUGGUUCCAAGGGUUCACGAUGGCAGAAGGGUCAUUCUACUCUAUUGUUACUAACUCUUCUACUAGUGCAUUAGGUGUGCGGAUCAUUGUAGCCUUUGAUAUUAGUCAAGAGCUAUGUGAGUAUGAAGCUGUAUUACGGUUCCAAGAGUUCUUGGGAUGCGGUACAGUUGUCAACAAAUCACGACACCCUAGUCUACGAGUACAAAGUCGAGCAGCAUUGAUCAAUAGUGUGUUCCCAUUCUUUGAUCAGUAUCCAUUGUUAGGUUCAAAAGCUAACCGUUUAGCUUUACUUAAGGAUAUUGUGACAAUUAUGGAGGACAAUAAGCCAUUGACACAAGCCAACAUCACGCAAAUCUCAGAGCUCAUUGCUUUGAUGAAAUUGCACUAACAUCCCCUUUUUACUAAGAUAAAUGUCACUCAGAGACUUAGUAUGACACAUAUGUAACCCAUAUGAUUCUAAAGUCCUGGAGAGAGACAAGUGAUCAACACACUCUCUCCUGAGCGAUGCUCCUACUGUCUUAAACUUGGGCUCGGUGAAAUUGAAUUAGCCGUGCAGAUGCGGUUUACCACCAGAUAGACGGGAAGACCCUAUGCAACUUUACUAUAGCUAGGCAUUGUACUAGGCCAUCACUUGUCACAGGUAUGAGGUAGCUGAUAAGGCGUAAGUGAGAGACCUCAACAAGUCAUGGUCAGACUUACCUUAGUAUGAAACUAAGGGACAUUGCCUAGUGGGUAGUUUUACUGGGACGGUACCCUCCAAGAAAGCAUCGGAGGGGUCCAAUAGGUACACAUAGCUUAGCCGGAGACUAAGUGGCUAUGAAGAGCCAAUAACAGCAUAAUGGCAAAAGUGUGCUAAACUGUAAGACUGACAGGUCAAUCAGGUACGUAAGUAGGGCAUAGUGAACCGAUAGUAUGUUAUGGUACAGCUAUCGUUCAUCGGAUAAGUUACGCUAGGGAUAACAGGCUGAUAGCGCGAAAGAGUUCAUAUCGUAAGCGCUGUUUGGCACCUCGAUGUCGACUCAUCACAUCCUCCCGGUGUAUCAGCUGGGAAGGGUUCAACUGUUCGUUGAUUAAAGUGGUACGUGAGUUGGGUUUAAUACGACGUGAGUCAGUAUAGUCCCUAUCUUCUGGUGGGACAUAUAGGCGAAGAAGAACAUCUGGUUAGUACGAAAGGACCAUCAGGUGCGCACCUCUGGUGUAUCUGCUAUAGUUCAUUGACUGUACUGCAGAGUAGCUACGUGCGUUAAGGAUAAGACCUGAAAGCAUAUAAGGUCGAAGCUGCUCUUUGGAGACUAAACAGCAACGGGAUGUAGACCACGUCCUUGAUAGGUCACAUGUGUAAGCUCCGUUAAGGAGUGAGCUGAGUGAUACUAAUGUGUUGCAUGACUUGACG